UGAAAGUUUUAUGUGUUGUCAAAAUUAAUUUUUAUUAAUAUCCAAAUGGUAAAAUAAAUUGCCAAACUUUUGGAAAAAUAUAAUUAUUCUGUAGGUUGAUAGAAUAAAGAAAGUUUGGGAAUUUAUGCAGCGACUGUGGUGGUCUCAUCGGCAGCGACUGUUGAGGUUGAGGCCUCAGUUGUGGUUGUGCUGUCAGAGCUGGAUUCCGUAGUGCUGGUGGUGGUGCUGGUGCUGGAACUGUUGUUAGGACCCCAUGGACCCCAUG